ensembl:lncRNA
CGCCUCUCUCAUCCCCUCAGCGCUUUGCUCUUCAGUGUUUAAACUUUCCUUGAAAGAGACUUACCUCCCAGCAUCCUGUACUACAGUUAUUAAACCCUGUCUUUGCCUUGAACUUGAGCCAGGAUUUAUUGUCACUUUCCCCUCGUGCGUGGCUGCAGGACGCGUCUCGGUGCGCGCACAAUGGAAAGGAGAACGCGUCCGGUGCGUCCGCCCCGGUCCUCCUCCUUUGCUGCUACUGCUGCUGCUUUUGUCUCCGGGACAAACUGACAAAACCCUGCCCAGGAGGCAGAGGCACAUCCCGGGCUGGAGGAUUUGCGUGCCCCCACUCAGAAGAUAAAACAGACACGGAGACUGAGUCGUAAACCCCGAGAGAGAGGACAUGGACGUACUGUAGCCAGCAAUAAGAAUAUAAGGAGGAUGUUGCCCAGCUAUUAUUAGACAUAGAGCUCAAACUGCAGGGAGGCAGAAAAACAAACAGUCUUCACUGAUGCAGAGAGAGAGUGUCAAGGACACACCAGCAACUUCCAGGACGCCUGACGCAAGUUGAAAGGAGGGCAGGCCCGUCUGAAGAGCCAAACUCUGAGACUGAAAAGCACAAGUCAGAUGUUAGACACUUCAGUGUUUCCAAAGCACACAUGAAAGCACGCUGAGGCUGUUCACCCGUGGGAGACCGUUCCGCGUGAAGAUCAAAACAGCAUUCGGCACGGGCAGAUGGAUGAUGCUGCUGAUCCCUCGCUCCGGAGGUGUGGAGUGACAGAUGACAGAGGUUUUGGUACAGCAGGAGGGAGAGCCAAAGAGAGAGGCGACGACGGAGAGACUCGCCACUGCUGAUAACCGAGAGAACAGAAAAGGUCAAGCACAUUGAUUGGGAGUUCGCCCUCACCAUCAUCUCGGAUAAACACCUCAGAUAUGUCCGUUCACAACAGCAGGGUUCAAAGCUGAAUGCAGAUACUGAAACCGACUGAUACCCUGUGGCAAACUGACUACAGCGAUUGGCUGGACAGAGGACGAUGGUGGCCCGCAGCCAUGGAUAUGAGUCAUCCAAUUUGC